GUGUUCGUUAAAAGGAGAGAUGGUUGGCAUCUCCCCUGACAGGGACGGGAACAGCCUUCGGGCUUUUCUAUACACAUCGGUUAAGGCUAUCCACCUUUGGUGGAUCUAUAACCAAAUUUUUUU
rnacentral:ncRNA from 2 species